rnacentral:rRNA from 1 species
GAUGAACGCUGGCGGCGUGCCUAAUACAUGCAAGUCGAGCGAACGGACGAGAAGCUUGCUUCUCUGAUGUUAGCGGCGGAAGGGUGAGUAACACGUGGAUAACCUACCUAUAAGACUGGGAUAACUUCGGGAAACCGGAGCUAAUACCGGAUAAUAUUUUGAACCGCAUGGUUCAAAAGUGAAAGACGGUCUUGAUGUCACUUAUAGAUGGAUCCGCGCUGCAUUAGAUAGUUGGUAAGGUAACGGCUUACCAAGGCAACGAUGCAUAGCCGACCUGAGAGAGUGAUCGGCCACACUGGAACUGUGACACGGUCCAGACUCCUACGGGAGGCAGCAGUAGGGAAUCUUCCGCAAUGGGCGAAAGCCUGACGGAGCAACGCCGCGUGAGUGAUGAAGGUCUUCGGAUCGUAAAACGCUGUUAUUAGGGAAGAACAUAUGUGUAAGUAACUGUGCACAUCUUGACGGUACCUAAUCAGAAAGCCACGGCUAACUACGUG